GCCUGGGUAGCUCAGCAGUUGAGCGUCUGCCUUUGGCUCAGGUCACAAUCCCCAGGUCGUGGGAUUGAGUCCCACAUCAGGCU
rnacentral:tRNA from 1 species